rnacentral:rRNA from 1 species
GUAGGUGGCAAGCGUUGUCCGGAAUUAUUGGGCGUGAAGCGCGCGCAGGCGGUCCUUUAAGUCUGAUGUGAAAGCCCACGGCUCAACCGUGGAGGGUCAUUGGAAACUGGGGGACUUGAGUACAGAAGAGGAAAGCGGAAUUCCAAGUGUAGCGGUGAAAUGCGUAGAGAUUUGGAGGAACACCAGUGGCGAAGGCGGCUUUCUGGUCUGUAACUGACGCUGAGGCGCGAAAGCGUGGGGAGCAAACAGGGAUUAGAUACCCUGGUAGUCCACGCCGUAAACGAUGAGUGCUAAGUGUUAGGGGGUUUCCGCCCCCUUAGUGCUGCAGCUAACGCAUUAAGCACUCCGCCUGGGGAGUACGGCCGCAAGGCUG